ACUUACCUUCAUAAUAUAAUUCUCUCUUUGCAAGACUUAUUUUCCACAAAAAGUUCUGCAAUUAUUUGUCUCCAGCUUCGUGUUUUGUGUCUGUGACUCUGUAUGGGUUUUGGGCCUCACUUGUGUCGAACAGUAAUGGCCCCAAGACAGUCAUAACAACAUAAACCCUUUAAUGGAAUUGGGCACACAAUUUUUGACACGUAGAGUGAGACUUGGUUUGUUGAGGAUAUAAAUGAUUAUAUGCCUUCUCUAACAGCUUGGGCAAUGAUUAAUGAUUUAACAUGCUAUUAGAAUAAACAAAAAUCAUCUGUUUGUGUGGAGGAGAGCUUGCCAUAUGUGAUUAAGGGUGUGUGGUAGGUUAUCUAGUGGAAGGUUACCCUUUUAUAUUGAGGCACUUUAAUGGCAGGUUCUCUAACCCGGGCAUGUAAAAUUCUAGGGUCAUGGUAAUACCCACAUGACACGUCAAUAGUGUAUUGUUUUGAAACCGAAAGUCUUUCUUUUAGGUUAGACGCCUUCUUUGUUAAGUGAAGUCUGAUAUCGCCUGAGUACUAAAGUAAUGUUACCUCAAUAGUUAGCUUUUGGGGUAGAGUUUCUACCUAAGAGCUUGCAACAUUCUUGUUAGAAUAGUUUAGAAAAAGGAAAUAAUAUGUAUUGUAUUGGAUUGAAUGAAUGAAUUAAUCUUAUACAAUAGAAGGCCUAUAUAUAUAAGCUGAAGAAGAGUAUCCUACUAGAAACCUAACUAUGAGAAACAGUAUCCUACAAGAAACCUAACUAUGGCUAUUCUUAAAUAUAUCUAGGAAAUCAAUACUUAAUAUAUCUAUAAAUACCAUAUAUACAUUAACAUUCCCCCUUAAACUCAAGGAGGAUAAACAUCUUGAGUUUGGAGAGAAAAACUAAAACAUGACAUAAAGUUAAAUAAAAUAAAAGGCAAAUAGGUUGCAAAGUCCAAACGGGAGCGCAAGGGCGCUUAAGAUAUAUUAGAAGUCGGAACUAAUAUCGGGAGACAGUUUAUGGUCGUGUUGGACCGUUGUAGGAAUUGGCCGAAAUUAAUGUCGGGACAGUUUAAGGUCAUGACAGAUUAUUGUAGAAACUAACUGGAACGAAUGUCGGACUGUUGCAGAAACUAACCGGAAUCAAUGUCAGGACAGUUUAAAGGGGUCAUGCCGGACCGAUGUAGGAGCUAACCCGAAUCAAUGUCGGAAUAGUUUAUAGGGGUCAUGUUGGACCGAUGUAGAGAGUUGGAUGUUGAACCAGUAAGCGUGACACACAAAUAAUUUAUGACGUAGUGCUGAAUGAUGAUGGUAACAGAUAACUGAGUGCACCAAGGGGCGGUUUGGAUUGUAUGCUAAAGAGGGUGGCUUGGGUUGUGCGCCAAAGGAAUGGCUUAGAAAAUGCGCCAAAAGGAGGCAGCUUAGAAAAUGCGCCAAAAGGAGGCGGCUUAGGAAGUGCGCCAAGGAGACGACUUAGGUAAUGUGUCAAUGAGACGACUUAGAUAAUGCGCCAAAAGAGGCGGCUUAAAGAAUGCGCCAAAGGAGGCGACUUAGGGAGUGCGCCAAGGAGGCGGCUUAGAUGGUGCGCUACAGGGGACCACUUAGUUGGCUUGCAAGGUGUAUAAUCAUGUUCAUCAUGAUGUAGGUAUAAUAUCCCCCUCAAACUCAAAUAGGUUCGAAAAUAGAAAUCUAUUUGAGGUUAAAACCGAGGGAAAGACAAAGUGGAGCAGAAGCACAAAAAAAAAAUUAAAAUUGAUAGAGAUAUUUAGAGUA